CAAACUCUUGCAAUAUAUUUUUUUUGAAUUUCAAACCUUAUAUAGUUUUAUAUGUUAAUAUUGCAUAUGUAUUUUCGCCGAAGAUUAGCUCUGGAUUUGGUGUCUCAUUCCUUGGAAACAUGGGAUUUGGCUGGGAUUACCAUACUGCAAGUAUUUCAAGUGAGAAGAUAGUGAUCAAUACAUAGAGCUGGAUCUACAAGAAAGACAAAUGAACUGUUAAGGAAUGAGGAAGAGGUCGAGAAGAGACUCCAUGAUAUUGAGAAGAGGGAGAUUGAGCUUUGUAACAGGGCGAAUGAGAUUGAGAAAAGAGAGAUGGUACAAGAUGGUAGACAUGAGGAGUUUUUGAAGAAGACAGAGAAUCAGAGAUGCUUCUUGAGCAAAAAGAUGGAAUAAGACGUUCGCGGAGACUUCUCCGGGCGUAUUAGGCUUUUGUAGUUAUUGUUUGUGGCUACUUACUGACUUGGUAGUGGUUUUAUGUUAUAGCUUAGGUUGUUUAGUAAGUGCAGUGUAAUAGUUGGGGACUGUUAUAGCUUAGGCUGUUUAGUGAGUGCAAUGUAAUAGUUGAUGACUUUUUUUGUUGCAUCUUGCCUCUUAUGCUUGUGGCAUGAAAAGCACUAAAUUGGUUGUAAAAUAGCUAUAUUAUAAUCAAUGGAUGCAAUGGUUUUGUGCA